GUGGGGGCUAAGGUAGCUCCUGAAAAGGCGGUAUCUGGCCCGCCCUGCCCCCUACUCACAAAAGCCAGG
rnacentral:sRNA from 1 species